UAAUACGGAGGGUGCAAGCGUUAUCCGGAUUUAUUGGGUUUAAAGGGUCCGUAGGCUGAUUUGUAAGUCAGUGGUGAAAUCUCACAGCUCAACUGUGAAACUGCCAUUGAUACUGCAAGUCUUGAGUGUUGUUGAAGUAGCUGGAAUAAGUAGUGUAGCGGUGAAAUGCAUAGAUAUUACUUAGAACACCAAUUGCGAAGGCAGGUUACUAAGCAACAACUGACGCUGAUGGACGAAAGCGUGGGGAGCGAACAGGAUUAGAUACCCUGGUAGUCCACGCCGUAAACGAUGCUAACUCGUUUUUGGGUUUUCGGAUUCAGAGACUAAGCGAAAGUGAUAAGUUAGCCACCUGGGGAGUACGGACGCAAGUCUG
rnacentral:rRNA from 1 species